AACGAACGCUGGCGGCAGGCUUAACACAUGCAAGUCGAACGCCCCGCAAGGGGAGUGGCAGACGGGUGAGUACCGCGUGGGAACAUACCCUUUUCUACGGAAUAGCUCUGGGAAACUGGAAUUAAUACCGUAUACGCCCUACGGGGGAAAGAUUUAUCGGGGAAGGAUUGGCCCGCGUUGGAUUAGCUAGUUGGUGGGGUAAAGGCCUACCAAGGCGACGAUCCAUAGCUGGUCUGAGAGGAUGAUCAGCCACAUUGGGACUGAGACACGGCCCAAACUCCUACGGGAGGCAGCAGUGGGGAAUAUUGGACAAUGGGCGCUAGCCUGAUCCAGCCAGGCCGCGUGAGUGAUGAAGGCCUUAGGGUUGUAAAGCUCUUUCACCGAUGAAGAUAAUGACGGUAGUCGGAGAAGAAGCCCCGGCUAACUUCGUG
rnacentral:rRNA from 1 species